UUCGCAAUGCCCGAAAGGGUGACGAAGCGACGCCGCGUGGGUGAGGAAGGCCUUCGGGUUGUAAAGCCCUGUCAGGAGUUAAGAAAUGUAAGUGCGCUAAUAUCGCAUUUAUUUGACGAAGGCUCCAAAGGAAGUCACGGCUAACUCUGUGCCAGCAGCCGCGGUAAUACAGAGGUGGCAAGCGUUGUUCGGAAUUAUUGGGCGUAAAGAGCACGUAGGUGGGUUUGUAAGUCAGAUGUGAAAGCCUCCUGUUCAACGGAAGAAUUGCAUCUGAAACUGCGAGUCUUGAGUGUAGGAGGGGAGAAUGGAACUUCUGGUGGAGCGGUGAAAUGCGUAGAUAUCAGAAGGAACGCCGGCGGCGAAAGCGAUUCUCUGGCCUAUUACUGACACUCAGUGUGCGAAAGCUAGGGGAGCAAACGGGAUUAGAUACCCCGGUAGUCCUAGCCGUAAACGAUGGGCACUAAGUAGAGGGGUUUU
rnacentral:rRNA from 2 species